GUCACAGAGGUCAAGGUUUUGCUGGCAGGGUCUGAUGAGCUUUGGUACGAAACAAACAUGGCAGUGGAACACAAGGGUGCCAGAACUCUGGAUCUGCCAGUUACUCUGAACACUCUGCCUGUGUUCCAGCGUGGGGGGACAGUGGUGCCCAGGAGAGCAGGUUGUGGGUCCAGUACAACAGACUUACAGCAGCACCCAAUCACUCUCACAGUGGCCCUGGACACUAAGGUGACACAUGACAGCACAACAGAAAUACUGGGUGGCACCAUAAUACAGGUCAGGGAUGGAAUCACAUUUUAAUACCAAUAUAUACACUAUACUAUUCAAAAGUCUAGGGUCAGUAAGUGAAAUUAAUAUUUUUAUUUAGUAAAAGAUGCAUUAAAUAGAUCACAAGUGACAGUCAAGAAAUGUAUGAUGUUAAAAAAGAUUUAUGUUUCAA